UUCCUGGUGGUCUGGUGGUUAGGACUCAGCACUUUCACUGCUGCAGCCCGGGGUUCAAUCCCUGCUCUGGGAA
rnacentral:tRNA from 1 species